AGAAUCAACGCUGGCGGCGUGCCUCAGACAUGCAAGUCGAACGAUUAAAGCUCUCUUCGGAGAGUGUAUAGAGUGGCGCACGGGUGAGUAACACGUAAGUAAUCUACCUUCGAGUGGGGAAUAACCCGGGGAAACCCGAGCUAAUACCGCAUAAUGCAGCGGCAUCGCAAGAUGACAGUUGUUAAAGGAUUUAUUUCGCUUGAAGAGGAGCUUGCGGCAGAUUAGCUUGUUGGUAAGGUAACGGCUUACCAAGGCUACGAUCUGUAUCCGGUCUAAGAGGACGGUCGGACACACUGACACUGAAUAACGGGUCAGACUCCGUACGGGAGCAGCAGGUCGGGAAUUUGGGCAAGUGGGACGAAAGCCUGACCCAGCAACGCCGCA
rnacentral:rRNA from 1 species